rnacentral:rRNA from 1 species
UACGGGGGGAGCAAGCGUUGUUCGGAUUUACUGGGCGUAAAGGGCGCGUAGGCGGUCAGCUCAGGUCGGUUGUGAAAUCUCCGAGCUUAACUUGGAAACUGCCAUUGAUACUAUCAGUCUUGAAUAUUGUGGAGGUCAGCGGAAUAUGUCAUGUAGCGGUGAAAUGCUUAGAUAUGACAUAGAACACCAAUUGCGAAGGCAGCUGGCUACACAUAUAUUGACACUGAGGCACGAAAGCGUGGGGAUCAAACAGG